CUUCUUUCCCAUUCUUCUUCUCUUUCUUCUGUUUCUUUUCUUCCCCUAUUCUUUCUCUUCUGCAAGUGAUUGAUAGAUUGAGCCGAUGUUUGGUGAUCGGUAGGAGGUGGAUAAGAUCAUGGAGUAGUUGAUGGUGGUGGUGUUGUUGUUGUUUGAGUUUAGGAGGAAGCUGAAAUCGAGAAAUCAAUAAGUUAAGGUUUCUGGUUUUUAGUUGGGCCGGUGUUGAACAAUUGAUGAUGAUUUCUUGUUGAUAACGGAGAAAGAUCGAAUGGGUUGAUGCUGUAUUGAUGAUAUGAAGUUGCUCUGUUGAUUGAAUCAAUAAUUAGGGUUUCCUGAGUUAGAUUGGAGUUCGAUUGAGCAAGGAUUAAGAAGAGUUAGACAAAAUUACAGAUGGGUUUGUUCUUAAUUGAUCGAUUGGAUGAACUAGAGUCCGGGAUGAGGAGUAAUAAUUCGAGUUUGAUUAUGGAUCUAGGGAUUGGUUCUGUUAAUAAGGAGAUGACGGAGUUGUCUCUGGUGAUAAACUGGUUGAUGUUUGAUCAAAUCUGGUUUGAGGUAAUUGAUUUCUUAAUUGAUUUAGUUAAUCAUUCAUUUCAGUUUUGAGCUUAUGAGUUUGUGAAUGAUAUAAAAAUUUAUCUGAGUUAUUUACUUUGGGAAAGGUUUAAGGAGAGGGUGGUGCUUGUGUUGGUGGUUUGAUGAUAGAGUUUAUUAUCUUGAAUUGCUUAUUGAUGGGGUGAAGAACUAGAACUGCAGAUAUGAAGAUGAUUGAGUUAUGAUGAACUAUUGGUGUGGUGAUAGAAUUGAAUAGAUGUAUGGCUCUGUGUGAGUUGUGUGGAAGUUAAUGGAACUGUACAGGAAUUGUAACUGAGUUAUGGAUUGUAAAUGGACUACAGUAUGGCAGAGAUAGUGUAUACAUGGUUGUGAUGGUUGGCUUUAGUUUUGUAGCCGAUUUGUUGCUAGUAGUGAUGCUGCAGGUGUUGGGAAUAGAGCUAAAGGUGAACUGUGGCAGUUACAGAUAGAGCUGUAAUAUAAUGAAGGUGGUUUAAACUGAAGUUUAAAUGUGUGCUGCAGUAAGGUUGAUUGAGUGGUAUGAAACUGAUGAUACAUAAGUUAGUAUUGCAGGUGUUGGCGUUAGCUAAAGUUAGUAAUAUUUCAGUUCAUAUAAGAUGAUGGUCUGAAUGUUUGGGUUGUGGUUGUGUGAGUUAUAGAAAUGGUUGAAGAAAUAAUGGUGUUGAUGUUGGACUCAAGUUGAAUGUGUAGAUUUGGAGUUUAGAGAUGGCGUCGUUGUUUGUGUGUUGAAUUGAAGGAGAAGAAGAUAUGUGAGAGUAAUGAUUGUAGAAUCCAGUUGGGUAGUCUCAUUGAAAGCUUGCUACCACUGAAAUUGCAGUUAGUCUAUAUUAACAACAAUCAAUUCAAGGACGAACCAGAGGAUCGUGGAUCUCGAGGUAGGUGUGGCUUGUCAUCAAAAGAGUUUCAGAGACAGAUCAGAGUUGCGCAGCGAAGGCUUCAAUGGUUGAU